rnacentral:lncRNA from 1 species
GUAAGACAACGAGGAAAUAAUGACGAAACCUAAAAAUAAAGAUGGGGUUUGGAAUAUAUGAAGUAGAAAAUAAGGAAUAUGGGAUUUGGGGUUUAGGGUUUGGGGUUUCGGGUUUGGGGUUUGGGGUUUCGGGUUUAUGGUUUCGGGUUUCGGGUUUAGGGGUUCGGGGUUUGGGGUUUGGGGUUCGGGGUUUAGGGGUUCAGAGUUUGGGGUUUCGGGUUUAGGGGUUCGGGGUUUCGGGUUUCGGGUUUUGGAUUUCGGGUUUCGGGUUUCGGGUUUGGGGUUUCGAGUUUGGGGUUUCGGGUUUAGGGGUUUGGGGUUUGGGGUUUCGGGUUUUGGAUUUCGGGUUUCGGGUUUCGUGUUUCGGGUUUGGGGUUCUAGGGAUUUAACCAUAACACUUGUUAAAAAUAACGACGAAACUUAAAAUUAAAUAUGGGGUUUGGAAUAUAUGAAGUAGAAAAUUAAAGAUGGGGGUUUGGGUUUCGGGUUUCGGGUUUGGGCUUUCGGGUUUCGGGUUUGGGGGUUGGGGUUUGGGGUUUCGGGUAUGAGGUUUCGGGUUUUGGGUUUCGGGUUUCGGGGUUGGGGUUUCGGGUUUUGGGUUUGGGCUUUCGGGUUUCGGGUUUCGGGUUUGGGGGUUGGGGUUUAGGAAUAACGACGAAACU